AGAGUUUGAUCAUGGCUCAGGAUGAACGCUAGCGGCAGGCUUAAUACAUGCAAGUCGUGGGGCAGCAGGUCUGUAGCAAUACAGGCGCUGGCGACCGGCAAACGGGUGUGGAACACGUACACAACCUUCCUUUAAGUGGGGGAUAGCCCGGGGAAACCCGGAUUAAUACCCCGUAAUAUAGUGAUUGGGCAUCUUUUUACUAUUAUAGCAGCAAUGCGCUUAAUGAUGGGUGUGCGCCUGAUUAGGCAGUUGGCGGGGUAACGGCCCACCAAACCUACGAUCAGUAACUGGUGUGAGAGCACGACCAGUCACACGGGCACUGAGACACGGGCCCGACUCCUACGGGAGGCAGCAGUAAGGAAUAUUGGUCAAUGGACGCAAGUCUGAACCAGCCAUGCCGCGUGGAGGAUGAAGGUCCUCUGGAUUGUAAACUUCUUUUAUCUGGGAAGAAAUCCACGAAUUCUUUUGUGGUUGACGGUACCAGAUGAAUAAGCACCGGCUAACUCCGUGCCAGCAGCCGCGGUAAUACGGAGGGUGCAAGCGUUAUCCGGAUUCACUGGGUUUAAAGGGUGCGUAGGUGGGCAGGUAAGUCAGUGGUGAAAUCUCUGGGCUUAACUCAGAAACUGCCAUUGAUACUAUCUGUCUUGAAUACCGUGGAGGUCAGCGGAAUAUGUCAUGUAGCGGUGAAAUGCUUAGAUAUGACAUAGAACACCAAUUGCGAAGGCAGCUGGCUACACGGAUAUUGACACUGAUGCACGAAAGCGUGGGGAUCAAACAGGAUUAGAUACCCUAGUAGUCC
rnacentral:rRNA from 1 species